GCCAGCGCGGCAGCGACCAAUCAGCGCGCGAGGGGGCGGGCCCGGAGAGAACCAUUGGGCCGCGCUCCUGUCCCGAGGCGCGCCCGGCCUGGGGGCGCUCUGGGCUGAAGAGAGCUGAAGAAAGUUACACCUCUACUAGAGAACUGCUGGCCAAAGGAGCCCUUGGAACCCUUGGGUGGAGAAUUGGAAACAACAACAAAACACCGAUCUGGCCUCAGCGUGACCUCAGACAAUGAGUCCUCAAAAACCUAAUACUUUUCUAACGCUGGGUCUACGUUGUUGAAGAGAGCAGAGGCCAUGUGAAGAAGGGGCUGGAGGAAGGAAGCAGUUCCUGGCAUCGUAACUUUGAUGACUUCUUCAGAGGACCUGACCUUCAGAUGGGAGCCGGGUGAUCUUGGAGUUGAAGCGGGAUUACAGCCUUCCACCCUUCCACCCUUGUAGCGGGAACCAGCAACCAGAGUUCCUGGCAGCUGCUCUCCACAGGCAGCGACUCAGCUGUUCUCUUCCCAGCUCUGCCUAGGCACAUAGGUGGGGAAGGGGGCCCUGGGGAGUUGCAACAGCCGGCAGCCAUGGUUAAGUUGGUCUCCCCCAGCCCAAAGCGUGUUUGGGAAAAAAGAGAGGCAGGUAGGGCUUCUCUAGUCUGGCUGAUCCUAGUGCACAGACAAGGAGGGACCCUAGUUCUCAGAUACUGCCCCAAGGCCAGCUUCAGAGUCGUGAGCUUUGGAUAAAUGGUCAGAUCUCAGUAGCCCAGUUGCAUUGGCCUAAUAGGUCUUUUUCUGGGUGGCUGUAUGAAGCCCACUUGGAGAGUUAGGCAGGAGGACCAGGAGCUCAAGGCUAGCUUGGGAUCCUGUUUCAAAAACCACAAAACAAACAAAAAACCAAGCAAAGAAUAGCUACCACCAUUGCCAAUACUAUUAACAUGUUUUAACUAGUUCAUCUUCAAUAGUGACUAUUUUUGUCCCUACUUCACACACAGAGGGGAAAAAUUAAAUAGUUCAUGGUAUCAAUAGAACUUCAAAACAAAACACUCUAAGAAGUCUCCCAGAACCCCAGGGGGUCUGAGUUCAUCACUGCAGGGGUGCACUCCGCUUUGGAGUGCACACUGGCCAAGAAGUCUGGGAGUCUGGUUUUGUGAUGAAGGUGUUCUAGACUGUGUCA